GAUGAAGAACGCAGCGAAAUGCGAUAAGUAAUGUGAAUUGCAGAAUUCAGUGAAUCAUCGAAUCUUUGAACGCACAUUGCGCCCCCUGGUAUUCCGGGGGGCAUGCCUGUCCGAGCGUCAUUACAACCCUCAAGCUCAGCUUGGUGUUGGGCCCCGCCGCCCCGGCGGGCCCUAAAGUCAGUGGCGGUGCCGUCCGGCUCCGAGCGUAGUAAUUCUUCUCGCUCUGGAGGUCCGGUCGUGUGCUCGCCAGCAACCCCCAAUUUUUUUCAGGUUGACCUCGGAUAAGGUAGGGAUACCCGCUGAACUUAAGCAUAUCAAUAAGCGGAGGA
rnacentral:misc_RNA from 1 species